GCCGGCUUGGCGCAAUUGGUAGCGCAUCCGACUUGUAAUCGGAAGGUUGCGGGUUCAAGUCCCGCAGCCGGCC
rnacentral:tRNA from 2 species